AUGCUGAGCUAGGAAGAACGCCUUUGAUCGUUCAAAUAGCUAAGCUGGUUGUAAAAUAUUGGUUUCGAAUAAAAAGUUCAUUGUUAUCAAACACGCUUGUUGGAAAAGCAGCGAAUGUAUGCAUGGAACUUAACCUAAAGUCAACAAUUUUUAUCAAAUAUGCACUGCAACUAUGUGGGGGAGAAAAUUGCGAUUCACAAACUGAAUUAUCCAACUUGCAGACGGAAUUAUCUGAAACAGAAAAAGGAAAUGUUUGCCAUCACGUGAAACAUAGAUUUAAAGAAGCGUUUAUAUUGUAUUGGGCAGAGCAGUUUCAACCUGUCGAAAAUACUGGCAAGCUAAGAACUUUUAGAAAAAUAAAAAAACACUUUGAAUGUGAAAAAUACUUAAACGAAAUUAGUAAUUUCAAAUAUCGUCAAGCUGUUACAAAGUUAAGAAUAUCAGCACAUAAGCUAACUGUUGAAACUGGUAGAUACAACAAUGUCCCAUACAAUGAUAGACUAUGCAGACUUUGUGAGUUAAAUGAAGUAGGAGAUGAACAUCACUUUUUAAUGUCUUGUACAAACAUGAAGUUCAUCGACCUCAGGACAAAAUUCAUUGAUAAUUUAUAUAAAAUAAAUAGGUUUUUCAACUUAUUUACUUCGGAAAACCUAUUUAUAUAUAUUAUGGCUAUGAAGGAUAAGUCAAUAAUGAAGUUAGUAGGCAAAUAUUGUUUCGACGUUUUGGCUGCUUUUGAUAGCCUG